rnacentral:rRNA from 1 species
UACGUAGGGGGCAAGCGUUGUCCGGAAUCAUUGGGCGUAAAGCGCGUGUAGGCGGCCCGAUAAGUCCGCUGUGAAAGUCCAGGGCUCAACCCUGGGAUGCCGGUGGAUACUGUCGGGCUCGAGUCCGGAAGAGGCGAGUGGAAUUCCUGGUGUAGCGGUGAAAUGCGCAGAUAUCAGGAGGAACACCAAUUGCGAAGGCAGCUUGCUGGGACGUUACUGACGCUGAGACGCGAAAGCGUGGGGAGCAAACAGG